rnacentral:rRNA from 1 species
GGACUCUGAGACAGGUGCUGCAUGGCUGUCGUCAGCUCGUGUGAGAAAUGUUGGGUUAAGUCCCGCAACGAGCGCAACCCUUAUCCUUUGUUGCCAGCGGUUCGGCCGGGAACUCAAAGGAGACUGCCAGUGAUAAACUGGAGGAAGGUGGGGAUGACGUCAAGUCAUCAUGGCCCUUACGAGUAGGGCUACACACGUGCUACAAUGGCGUAUACAAAGAGAAGCGACCUCGCGAGAGCAAGCGGACCUCAUAAAGUACGUCGUAGUCCGGAUUGGAGUCUGCAACUCGACUCCAUGAAGUCGGAAUCGCUAGUAAUCGUAGAUCAGA